GGGGCCGUAGCUCAGUUGGGAGAGCGCUAGCUUUGCAAGUUAGAUGUCGGCGGUUCGAGUCCGCUCGGCUCCA
rnacentral:tRNA from 1 species